GUGUGACCACCCUGGAGAGAAGAUGGGCGUGUGGGAGAUAGUGUGUGGUGUGUUGGUGUUGUGUAGUGGGGUGUUGUCAGGGGAGAUCCUACGCUACACAGAGCCACAACACUCCAGGAGCGAGAAUGGAAGUCCUGGCCUCAAUGUAACUGGCAGGUGGAGCUGGGUGGACAACCUUGGCGAACGUCACCACAUCUGGUACGUGGCAGACAAGAGAGGAUUUAGGGCCUUCGGGGAUGUGGUGCCCAACCUGCCAGAGGCGUCCACUGCCUCUCUGGCCAUCGGUGUACCCGUGGUUGACGGUGUCACGACCUUAAGUGGACAAGAAACACUGGCAAAGGGUGUCCCAGCAUUUCCACCCGAGCAGAGGACCUUGGAAAGGGGCGUCCCGACGCUUGAGGCUGGACACAAAGUGCCCGUAAAGGGCACUGGAUCUAACCCAGAGCGAGGAGCCGCCCCUCUCAAGCCUCACGCCACCAGCAGUGGCUCUGGACACCCCUCCCCACUGUUGCUGACACUGGAAUCAAGUGACCAUAUUAAUAGCGAGAAAAAUCAUAAUCGCCAAAUUUUGAGGGAACCAAAUGGGCAGCCUGACACACCUAAACAUGAUGAACGGAAGGAGAAUACCGUCGGUAUUACAGCUGCUUCUCGGGCGACCACACCUAAAGUUGCUCCUCCAGGUCCUGCAGCACCACUUUUUGCACCCCAACACUCUGAUACUCAUUUUGCAACUGGUCAGUCUAAGAAUCUCGUCCCCCAGGAGUCUGUGUCUCAACACGGGGAAGAAGAUGACUUGCUCCAGGAGCCAGCUCUUGCCUCAAUCCCAGAGAACAAUUUUGUUUCCGGUGUGUUCAAUACAUUAACAUCAUUACUCGGCGACACAACACAACAGUCUCAGGCACCAACAAAACCACAGGAGACAAAUGAUGUUUUAAUAGGAAUCGUCGACUCCUCUCAAGCUCAGCCAAUUAAGGGCACUGACUUUGUACUGAUUGAUCGUUUGAGGAUACCCAACGUCCCAAAGCUGCGGGUUGGAUCCCCGCCUUUGGUGCCCCAACCCGUGGGCGUCAAAGGCCAAUCUGCGCCCAUUGUCAUGGGUCUUCACACCUCUGGAAGACCUCCCUUAAACCAGCGUGUGCCACAGACUGCCAGAUCUCUUGCACCUCUGGGGAUUCAUCUGCUCAAUCUGGUGCCAUUCCAAGGUCCAAGGAAAAUUAAUGAUUCCAAAGGGCCAGUUCCUCGCCCCGUGAGGAUUGUGGGAAAACCUAACCUGGAAAACUUCUUCCGGCCCGUCCAGCUGGCCCGCACUACUCCAUCUCCCUUCAGAUUACCCAGCCCUAUUCGGGACUAUGAUUACCAGUACUUCGACUACGACUACUACGAUUACGGAGACUAUGAGGUUAGCAGUAUGGGAGGCCCUGGCAGCCCUUUUCACAAAACUAAAAGUAAAUCCGAUAGUGACAUUAGCGAGGAAAACUCCACGGAAGGGGAGACCCCAGAGAGUGAGGAGACGGAUGAUUGAGGUGAGAGACGAUGAAGCCCUAAGAUCAGCAGCAGAGACAGUAGUGCCCUGAGAUCUUGAGUGCUUGAUACCCUGAUAUCUGUGACGAGGAUGAUGGUUCCUUAUGUUCGUACCAUAAGAGUGCCACUGCAGGCAGAUAGCAAGCAGGAGGCAUUUGUCUGACGUAGCUUCCACGAGCGUGUCGUCUCGGGAUGGAAGUGAACGCCAGGCAUUGUUGAUUGCUCGUGCUGGCUUAGUUUUUAUGGUACGGGCCUUUUAAGAUAAGUUUGGAUACACUGGUACCUCAAGGUGUGGACUGAUAAAAGGGGCUCUUUGAAAGUGCGAGUCGUGAGACCAGAAAAUGUAACUCAGAUGCUGUAUAAACAAACAUACUCCCGGCACCACGAGACAAGAACCAACGAAGAAGGACGUACAGAGUGAAGAAGACCUUCAAAAUGGUGCAAGAAAUAUAUCAUGAAGAGGCAAGACCAUCACUAAGACUACAUUAGAGGAACACAAGACGCCAUAGUUUUAAGUCGUUUAUAAGAUAUGACCACACACCAGGUUGAGAAACCUUGUGGACGUAUGUAACAGUCUACUGUAGCAGGUAAUUAUGUCUCCAAAUGUACUGACCUUUCAGGAAAGAUUUAACAAGCAGUGGGCAGGUCAAGAUGCCAUGUUCUUUUAAGUCUUGAACACAUGUUGUAGAACCAGUCCUGUCCACUAUGGCAGCAAAUUAUACCAGAGAAGCAGAUGAGUUGGACAGACUGAUGUAGAUCCUUUGUCUAGAUCUAAAAUAAAACACAAUAUACAAAAAUAAAUAAAACCUGCUCGAUGUGGCUCCAAGAUUUGAAUAAAAAAGCUAGUAAAACAAACAACCUUUAGAUUUAUAUUGACUUAAUUAGGAACAUGUACAGGUACAAGUAUUUUUUGUGAAAAAUAUUCAGACAUCUUCUGUGCUUAUAACUUGGAUGGAGUUGAAUUUUUUUCAAGUAAGGACAUGAUGUAUAGCUUGGCAAUACUGUAUACAAUAUUAAGAUAGCAACGGUGACAUUUCCAGUUCUUGGUUAUAUAACAUCAACCUAUGUGUUAUUAUCACAUGAACAAAAGAACUUUUACCAAUACCUGUCAAUGUCCUUGAAAUCUGUACUGUUUAGUCCGUCCUUACUUGGAAAACAAAGUCUUUUAAACUCCGUUCAACAUUGUCUUGCAGUAUUAGAUUUUCCCAGAGGCUCAGUUAUCUCAUCAAUAUUUAAUGACAUUGCUCAAGAAAUCAUUUAUGUAUAGAAGUACAUACAGUAGCUCCACUACAGUAUUGCAGUACUGUAUUGUGAGGCUGCCAAGAGGUACUGCAUUAACAUGUUUUACCAUUGAUCACCAGGAGGCACUGUCUUACCACAAAAGUUACCAAGAAAUUUUGUAUUAGUGAUUAAAAGAUAAUUUACCAUCACCAUGAGAUAUUGUACUGGUAAAUAUUGUAAAGUUUGCUAUAACACUGUCUUUUGUAAAGUGUAAACUUUGCUGCUUUAACAUGACAUUAUUUCAUGUGAGAAAUUAACCACUGUUGUAUAAAGUAGAAAACUGACAUCAUCUAGUUGUGGCAAACUCCUAAUGGAAAGUACGAAAAUGAAAAAAUUGUGAUCGACACAAUUUUUUUUUUUUACCCUCUUAUUCAGCGGGAUUUCCUACUUUUUACAUUAUCCAUUGUCAUGAAACUGCCCUCCAAGGUUCCACUCACAAGAUCUCUUUAUUAGAUUUAGUGUCUUUCACAUUGAAUAAGUCUCCUCAAUGUUCCCACUCAUUAGAUCAAUGCAAGAUCCUAAUGUCACACUUCUAAAUUAUAUUAGUCUGUCUUUCCAGGGUUCUACUCUCAAUAACACAUUGUAAGAUCCCAGCAUGUAUUUAAGGGUCUUCUAAGGUUAUAACAUCCGUGUCAUCCAGCGCAUCAGUCUUCAGAACAUCUACAGUACCCACAAAAACAUAUUUUCUGAGAACCCACUCUAUGGUCCAUAUUUUAAUGGCAGAAGUUUCUCUGAGGAAGAUACAUAAUAGUGUACACUUGCCUGGAUUGUUUCCACCUCAGAUUAGAAAUGAAUAACUCCUUCUGUUAAACAAGAAGGAAUAAGUAAUGACCAUUAUUUGUAAAUAAAUGACUGAAAUAU
rnacentral:misc_RNA from 1 species